GGUCAAGUAAUGAAGCGCACAUGGUGGAUGCCUUGGCAGUCAGAGGCGAUGAAAGACGUGACAGCCUGCGAUAAGCUUCGGGGAGGCGGCAAUAUCCUGUGAUCCGGAGAUUUCUGAAUGGGGAAACCCACUUACCAUAAGGUAGGUAUCCUAAUUUAUUAGGAAGCGAACGAGGGGAAGUGAAACAUCUCAGUACCCUUAGGAAAAGACAUCAAUUGAGAUUCCCCUAGUAGCGGCGAGCGAACGGGGAGAAGCCGAUUAAUGCUAAUGUAGAAGAACAGCGUGGGAAAGCUGACCGUAGUAGGUGAUAGUCCUGUAUUCGAAACAUUAGCGUUAACAUAUUAAGUAGAGCGGGGCACGAGAAAUCCUGUUUGAAGAUGGGGGGACCAUCCUCCAAGGCUAAAUACUCCUGACUGACCGAUAGU
rnacentral:rRNA from 1 species